rnacentral:rRNA from 1 species
CCGAUACGGCCCAGACUCCUACGGGAGGCAGCAGUAGGGAAUUUUGCGCAAUGGGGGAAACCCUGACGCAGCAACGCCAUGUGUGGGAUGAAGCAUUUCGGUGUGUAAACCACUGUCAGCGGGGAAUAAACGGCAGCUUCGGGCUGCUUUGAAUGUACCCGCAAAGGAAGCCCCGGCUAACUUCGUGCCAGCAGCCGCGGUAAUACGAGGGGGGCAAAUGUUGUUCGGAAUCACUGGGCGUAAAGGGAGCGUAGGCGGGGUCUUAAGUAAAGUGUUUAAUCCCGGGGCCCAACCCCGGACCGGCAUUUUAAACUGGGACUCUUGAAUAGUGGAGAGGUCGGUGGAAUUGGGGGUGUAGCGGUGGAAUGCGUAGAGAUCCCCAAGAACACCAGUUGCGAAGGCGGCCGACUGGACACAUAUUGACGCUGAGGCUCGAAAGCAUGGGGAGCAAACAGGAUUAGAUACCCUGGUAGUCCAUGCCAUAAACGAUGAAUACUAGGUUUUGGGCCCGUCAACGGUCCAGAGCCGCAGCUAACGCGUUAAGUAUUCCGCCUGGGGAGUACGGUCGCAAGACUGAAACUCAAAGGAAUUGACGGGGGCCCGCACAAGCGGUGGAGCAUGUGGUUUAAUUCGACGCAACGCGAAGAACCUUACCAAGGCUUGACAUGGGACAGACUGUACGAGAGAUCGUGCUUCUCUAGCAAUAGAGCUGUCCACACAGGUGCUGCAUGGCUGUCGUCAGCUCGUGUCGUGAGAUGUUGGGUUAAGUCCCGCAACGAGCGCAACCCCCGUUUCUAGUUGCCAUCAUUCAGUUGGGCCCUCUAGAGAGACUGCCGCGAAUAACGCGGAGGAAGGUGGGGACGACGUCAAGUCAUCAUGGCCCUUACGUCUUGGGCUACACACGUGCUACAAUGGGCGUUACAAAGGGUCGCAAGAGCGCAAGCUGGAGCCAAUCCCCAAAAGCGCCCUCAGUUCAGAUUGAGGUCUGCAACUCGACCUCAUGAAGGUGGAAUCGCUAGUAAUCGCGGAUCAGAACGCCGCGGUGAAUACGUUCCCGGGCCUUGUACACACCGCCCGUCAAGCCACGAAAGGAGAGAGCGCUCUAAGUCGCUAAGGUAACCCGCAAGGGAGCCCAGCGCCUAAAGCGAGAUCUCUAAUUGGGGCUAAGUCGUAACAAGGUAGUCGUAUCGGAAGGUGCGGCUG